rnacentral:lncRNA from 1 species
AAAGCUGAAGCUAAGGAGUGGAUCCCCAUCACCAUGCUGGACCACUUGGACAAGGACGUGAAGAUCAAGUCCCUGGAGGAGAUCCGCCUGUUCUCCUGCCCACUGAGGCAUCCUAGAUUACUGACUUUUCCCUGGGCGUAGCCCUAAAGGAUGAGGUUCUAAAGAUGCCAGUGCAGUAGCAGACUGGCUGGCCAGCGGACCAGGUUCAAGGUUUCAUCGCUACUGUGGACAACAAUGCUCACGUUGGUCUUGGUGUUAGGUGUUCAAAGGAGGUAGCCACUGCUAUCCAGGGGGCCAUUAUCUUGGCAAAGCUUUCCGUUGUCCCUGUGCAGCUACUGGGGAAGAGGCUUGGCAAGCCCCACACUGUUGGACACAAGGUGACAGGCCUCUGUGGCUCUGCUCCUGUGCCCAAGAAGCUGAUGAUAAAGGCUGGUAUUCAUAACUGCUACACAUCCAUCAGCCAGGGGCUCCACUGUCACCCCCGGGGGGCAAUGUUGCCAAGGCCACCUUUGAUGCCAUCCCCAAGACCUACAGCUAGGUAGCAUUCCACCUCCCCACCCUGCCACCCACUUACACCCUGAUGUCUGGAGAGAGUCUGUAUUCACCAAGUUCCCUUCUGAAGAGUCCACUGACUGUCCUGUGAAA